UUCUUCAGUAGCUCAGCGGUAGAGCGAGUGGCUGUUAACCACUAUGACGUUGGUUCAAAUCCAACCUGAAGAGUC
rnacentral:tRNA from 1 species